rnacentral:lncRNA from 1 species
AAGAGUUCAGUUGUCAGCUGUGGAACUACUUAAAUUGGCUUCAAAGAAUGUGAGAUUCAGGAUGAAUGUGUUACAUCACUUGGCAGCAAUGGCGGACAGAGCAAAGAUGGCAAUAGCUACAAAUACUGAAGUUUAGACGUAAAGGAAGAACUGUUUUGGACCUGAAGCACAUGAGGUUCAGGAAGAACAUGUUACAUCACUUAUCAGCAAUCAUGAACAGAAUAAAGUUGACAGAUGCCACAAGCACUGAAGUUCAGAGAAAUCUGGACCAGGAGGGAUGAUGAUUCACAUGAUUCCUUUGACAAAACAGGAGAAAAUGGACAAAAAGAUUACAUGCUGUUAUUUAUGGUUUCAUUGGCCGUGACAAUGACCCACUUUUGGCUUCAUAAUUAUUUGGACUUUUUGGCUUAUACUCUAAGGAAAUUGCGUAGAGGGAAAUGUGGACAAGAGGGAUUAACAGUGCAGGAGAGAAUGAAAUGGACAAACAGAUGACAUGCUGGUCAGAAUGAGGUUGACAGAUGAAAAGCAAAGCAAGAGCCAUGAGAUGAGAAAUGUUGAUGAGCAGGGAUGAUGAUUUGGAUGAUUCCUUUGACGAUACAAGAGAGAAUGGAAUGGACAAACAGAUUACGUGGAGAAUGAGACUGACAGAUGAAAAGCAUAAACAAGAACAAUGAGAUGGUGGGUAUGUAAUAUUGCUGAUUAAGGCAGUAUUUUCUAACUUUUAGAUAUUUCAGGGAAAUGUGGAUGAAGGUGAUUAAAGAAGCAGGAGAGAAUGGAAUGGACAAACAGAUGACAUGGAGGGCAGAAUGAGACUGACAGAUGAAAAGCGUAAACAAGAGCAAAGAGAUGGUUGGUAAAUAAAGUUGCAAAUUAGGGAAGUAUUUUCUAAGAUCUAAAUAUUUCAGGGUUAUGUGGAUGAGAGGGAUUAACAAUGCAGGAGAGUAUAUGGAAUGGACAAACAGAUACAUGUUGGUCAUAAUGAGUUUAAUAGAUGAAAAGCUCGAAUAAGAACCAUCAGAUGGUUGGUAUAUAUAGUUGCAAAUUAAAAGAUUGUUUUUUUUUCUAAAUUCUGAUUAUUUCAGGGAAAUGUGGACAAGGUGGGAUUACCAAUGCAGGACAGAAUGGAAUGGACAAGCAGAUGACAUGCUGGUCAGAAUAAGGCAAGAUGGAAAGUGUAAACAAGAACCAUGAGAUGGUACGUAUCAGUAGGUAUAUAUAGUUGCAAAUUUAAGGAGUAUUUUCAUAAUUUUGAUUAUUUCAGGGAAAUGUGGACAAGGUGGGAUUAAUGAUGCAGGACAGAAUGGAAUGGACAAGCAGAUGACAUGCUGGUCAGAAUAAGGCAAGAUGAAAUGUGUAAACAAGAACCAUGAGAUGGUACGUAUCAGUAGGUAUAUAUAGUUGCAAAUUUAAGGAGUAUUUUCAUAAUUUUGAUUAUUUCAGGGAAAUGUGGACAAGGUGGGAUUAAUGAUGCAGGACAGAAUGGAAUGGACAAGCAGAUGACAUGCUGGUCAGAAUAAGGCAAGAUGGAAAGUGUAAACAAGAACCAUGAGAUGGUACGUAUCAGUAGGUAUAUAUAGUUGCAAAUUUAAGGAGUAUUUUCAUAAUUUUGAUUAUUUCAGGGAAAUGUGGACAAGGUGGGAUUAAUGAUGCAGGACAGGAUGGAAUGGACAAGCAGAUGACAUGCUGGUCAGAAUGAGGUUGGCAAGAACCAUGAGAUGGUACUGGUAGGUAUAUAUAAUUGCAGUUUAGGGAGUAUUUUCUAAAUCUAUGUAUUUCAGGAAAAUGUGGACGAGGAUGGAUGAUGAUUUCCAUGAUACCUUUGACUACUCAGGAGAGAAUGGAAUGGACAAACAGAUGCUGGCCAGAAUGAAGUUUACAGACGAAAACAAUCAACAAGAACCAUGAGAUGGUGUGUUGAGGUGAAACCUGAUGAUUCCUAGGAAGACUGUCUUCGGCUGAUGUACAAAAAGCCUGGCAACAGCUUCAAGCCUAGCAGUAGCUUCUGAAAGCGGGGACACAUGUAUCAGUAAGUUAACAUUUUUCAUUUUACAGUUAUUGUCCAUGUGCAGUCACAUGGAGGAAAGAUUCACAAGGGCAAAAAUUAAUCUCGAACAAAAACCCCAAAAAAAUCACAUUUAAUUUGGAUUUCAAAAAGUCAAGUGAGUGAAUUAUCUCAU